UGGCCUUGGCAGGAAGCUCUCCUAGCUUUUGGACAGAAAUGGGAGGAAACGGAGUAAAGAGGGGGAGAAAACAAUGAUAGUGUGUGAGCUGUGAGAGAGAAGGCUGUGAAUGAAAUAAAGGCAGGUGUUUGCUGUGUACGGCACCAACAUCCAUGUGCCCAGUGUGUAUUCUCACACAUGGCUGGUACAGCCAUGGCUAGUACAAACUUCCUAGGGAGGACAGCAACCACCAACUGAAGAGGAGAUGGAAUGCUUUGCUCAUCUUCCACUGGGAGACACCAUAACUUCUGCCCACUAAGUGCUACACACACAGGGAGAGCUGAGCACCUUUGCUGGUAUCUGGAUGGAAGCUCAUGUGUGGAGAACCAGAGAAGUUUGUGGCAUGUGUGAGCAUCCCUGGGCAAAGUACAGAGCAGCCUGAGCUAAGCUGAGAGCAGACCUCACAAAGAACCAGCAAAGCUCAGAGCAGGCUAGUGAGUAACUCAGGGCUGAGAAAUGAACUCAGUUCUAAUUAUGUCAUCCUAUCCUGCUGCCCCUGAUACCAUUUCCUGUGCACUUCUCUCUUCCUACACAUGCUUCAUCCUUCCUGUCUUGUAUUGUCACAGCAGGCACACUGUGAAGCUCCCAGUUGCUUACUGGGAUUAACAUAGCAGCUCCGGUUUCUUAAGGCAGGCAGAUUCUAAUUAAACUUAGGGCUCACAUCAUACUCAAAAUGCCCCUUUGUGACACGCAGCUGAAGCUACUUGGAAAGUGUCAGUGCCCCCAGACCUUUAAUGAUCUUCAGUAUCAUGGCAGUAUAGGCUGUGUCUGUUCAAAGACUCCAGACAAAUGGAUGCAAAAACAGCAUCACUCUAAGUCAGAGAUCUAAGACGAAAUCUUCCAAGUAUGAAACAUAUCCAGAGGUGUGUCUGUCAAGUUUUUUAUUGGCUUGUCAUAGACAUGCACACAAAUAGCCUGUAGCAAACCCUUCCCACUGUAGGACUGUGUGGUGACCUCAGUUUCCUUUCAGGGCUCGAUUUUGGACUUGGGGAAAAGCAUGCUCAGUCCCAAGCCUCCAGGCUCACUGGGCCUGGACAGGUAAGGCAACAGCUGUACAGGCUUUGGUUCCUCUCCCCUACACUCCUAUAGAAAUGUGCCCCGUGAGUCUGCCUGGAGGAUCCAGAAAGAGGAACGCAGAAGUCCUUUCCACCCUCCCAACUCUUCUGGCACCUGGCAGCCAAUUGCACAUUAGGUGCUGAGACCAUCAGGUAUUUUUUCAUGUGGGCAUCUGAACGGUGGUGGGACUGCAGUCUCUUUUGGUCACAAUAACCCUGAAGAUGUUUGUGACAGCUUUUUACACCUCUUAUGCAAUACAGAAGGAGUUUGUGAUAAUUUCAUGCCACAGGAACCACUCUUUAGAUGCUGAGAGCAGCAUCUUCCCAAACAGCUGACUGAUCUGCAGGGGAAAGACAAGCCAGUGUGCCAGGGAUGGAGCAAGUACUGCUCUGCAUCAGCUGCUCCUGGAGGAGAGGGGGAGAACAGCAGCAGUGGUGUUGUGGAUGGUGUGGAAACCAACUUCAGCUCAGGACUUGCAAUGGCUGCUUUCCUGAAGGUUAGAACAAAUGUACGGAAAAGGUAUUUGGAGUUAAGACUUGCCUUAAAAAAAAAAAAACACAGGAAAGCUAAAGCAAGUAUGAAAAUAAAUUAGAAAUGAGGGGCAGAUAAAAGCAGAACCUGCAGGAAUCAAAUCUAAACAAAAAGCAGGGGCUGGGCCGUCCAGUGAGAAAGCCACAAAUGGCAGGGGUUGAAAUGUAAAACCUACAGGCCACUGAGAAACAUGAAAGAUGCUGUUGUGUUCCACACCUCCUUUUCCCGGGUGUAGCUGUCUCCAUACAGUGAAGGGCAGUAAUGAAUCAAGCUCCUUUCCUCUCCUCCUGUGUUUUCUAUUCAAUUAUUCACAGGCUGUGCCAGUUCUGCUUUAUUUCUCCCCUCCAUAUGCUGCACUCUCCUCCUGGGGUUUUCUAUUCUGAGCUAUGCCUUUGGCCUCUCUCCCAUUUCUUUCUCCUCAGCAUGUGCCCCCUGCUCUGCUAUGAUCUGCUGCCUUUGUAACCUCUGCUGUGCACAUAUGCUGGCUCUCCCUCCUUUCCUUGGCUCCUGGUCCGUCGAGUGUCCCUUCGCUUCACACUGAUGUUUUUGCCAGGGGGUCAGCAGCCUGCCAGCAAAGAAACAAUUCUGCUAUGGCCACUGCUUGUGCUUUCACGCUGCCAGCUCCUCUCUGCCGAUCAAGGGGAAACCAUGCUGCUCCCCUUGCACAGCUGAUUGGUAGCGAAGGCAAGGAUGGCUCUGCAGCUGCUUAGCAACUGGGAGCUGCUGCUGUGCAGCCCCGCAGAAAGGCAAGGGACAGCGCAGCACUCGCUAAUUCUGCACGUUCUGGCCCACUCGGCUGAAAACCGCGGCUUAGUGGAGCAGCUGGGGCACUCCCAGCUGUCCUGACAAAAAUAAAUCAAGCUGAGGAUCCUUCACUGCAGAUACGGCAGCAACAGCAGCAGUGUCAAGGGCAAAACUAUCUUUCUUUUGUGCCAUAGGUUGUUUGCAUCGUGCCAGUUAGGAGAAAAUGCUCCAAUUUGUAAGCUAAACUCAUUCCAUUUGAUCUUUGUCAUCGCUUUUCAGGCUGUAACAUUUUAUGUUCCAUCACUUAUAAUGAGAACGUUCCCUCUGUGUGCUGCGUUUGCUCAAAAGGCUCACGGGUCUCCAGCUACCACCACUUCGAAGCUGUUUAAUGAUAGAUGUCCAGGCAGAUAGGCACGAACACCCAGCAGAAUGGUGGUUCCCCAUCAUUAUGCAGCACACACAGCCCAUGUGCAUACAGCCCAUGCAUCUGCAGAGCAUGCUGAAACACAGGUAAAAUCCGUCAGGAGGUGCAUAUUUUGACAGAGAAAUUCCUUACCUGUAUGAUGUGCCAUACUUAGGAAAAGGUUAAAAAUAGGAAAGGAAAGAAGAAAAAAA
rnacentral:lncRNA from 1 species